rnacentral:lncRNA from 1 species
GCAGUCUCUCAAGUGGCUGGGAAUGAAUCAGCAGUGCUAGUGAGUGAGCCUGUCAUGACGAGCCCUUGCUUUGAGUAAGUUCAGAUGAUUUGUUCUUUCUUUCCUUAUUGACGCACAGGGGAGUGCAUCAACUAACAUAUGCUGCUCCAGGAAAUAUCAUAGGGACUGUAUAUAACUAAGAUCUGCCCUAGUAGCUACUUUGCUACUGAAUGCAGCGGCACAGAACUACCCCUGGCUUUUUCUCCAGACACAGACAGAUCAUUAAUAAAGGACUCUCAUCUGACACUCUUACAACGUCACAUGAGACAGUGACACAACACUACCUAAUGCUCACAACAUGGUGCGCGAUCCCACCCGUCCUAUAGGCCAACAUCUGCCAUGCAUGUGUGCAUCUCCCCUGCAUCACAGGAGGACAUGUGUGGCGCCCUUGGCCUCUUCGGGGUCUGACUUCUCUGGUUUGAGGAAGACGUGCAGUCUCAAAUAGAAUUAUAUAGCUCCAGGUAGCAAAUUCAUUUUAGGCUGUUCUAACCCAAGCUCUCACAUCACAAAGGAACGGAAAAAGCUCUUCUAGUGAUAUAGGUAUUUGGUCACUUCUGCUCCAGGCAACAUCUUUGGUCAGAAUGAAAGGAGGACAUCAGACCUGGCUUGGAAAGCAUCUCCUGGAUGGGUGACGAGGAAUACACAGAUCCUAAUAGAGACCAGGGCUGUCGAGAGAACAAAGAAUGCGUUUUCCACAGGAAAGAAUCUCCAAUUUACCCUCAGCAUCCUCAUAAAUAGAAAUUACAAGGAAAUACAUCAAGGAAAGAAUUAAUCAGAUUGAAAGGCAUUGUAGUAAUUAGAAGAAAAAGAGUGGCAUCUUCUCAGGCUCCCCCGGGUGGUGGUAAUUACCAGCUACGCAACUGUGACUUGUGCAAUGUAAAGUGUUCUGGAUUAAAAAGCUAAAUAUCUUUUUGUUUCCUUUCUUAGAGAAGCCAUUCUUGGAAUCAAGCAGCUGCACAGGCUGGGA